rnacentral:rRNA from 1 species
CAGGACGAACGCUGGCGGCGUGCUUCAUACAUGCAAGUCGAACGAGAAACUGACUUCGGUCAGUGGAAAGUGGCGGACGGGUGAGUAAAAUGUAGAGAAUCUGCCCUAGAGAGUGGGACAACAGAGGGAAACUUCUGCUAAUACCGCAUAUGCGCGUAGCUGAAAUGCUAUUCGUGAAAACUCCGGUGCUCUGGGAUGAGUCUGCAUCUGAUUAGCUAGUUGGCGGUGUAAUGGACCACCAAGGCGACGAUCAGUAGCUGGUUUGAGAGGAUGAUCAGCCACAAUGGGACUGAGACACGGCCCAUACUCCUACGGGAGGCAGCAGUAGGGAAUUUUGCGCAAUGGGGGAAACCCUGACGCAAGCAACGCCGCGUGAUUGAAGAAGCCCUUCGGGGUGUAAAGAUCUGUCAGUGGGGACGAAACUUGACGGUACCCACAGAGGAAGCAUCGGCUAACUCCGUGCCAGCAGCGGC